AGUGGAUGAGAGUUGGAGGAACAAGUUUUCUGUAAAGGACCAUCUAUUUAAUUUUAUUCAUCCUGUAUCAAGUUUCUGCAUCUCACAGUUUGGGCACAACAGGAGGGAAGCUUGGCUGCUCUACCUGGAGCCAGUGGAACUGCUGGGAGAUGGACUCACUGACAAGAGGAGGAAGAGACUGAGAUGUUUUGCCAACCACCAUAGACUGCCUGGCAUUACUAAGCAGAUCACUUCAACUGGGGAGGGCCAAUGUCUUAACUAAGAGCCAUCCUGAUCAACUCUCAGUGACCUAUGAGAUGGGUCUCAACUUCAGUCUGCUGUAUAGAUUUAAGAAAUAUCUGCCUAGAUUAUCUACUGUAAGCUCUCCAUUCAUUAAAACCGUGACUGGAAAUUGUAUGCGAUGCAAGGGACCAGAACUGCACCUAAGCAUCAAAAAUGGCCUUAGCAAGUUGGAUACCCAUACAUACAUAAAUGCAUGUAUAUAUGUAACAGUACCAGAGAAAAAAGAGACUAUAAGUUUACUUAUUAAAUAAAUUUGGUCACUGCCAA